UGGUAAGGCUUCCAGUCAACAGUAGGCUAUUGAUAGUUCAGUUUUUUUGUGGGGGAGGGGUGGCAAAAGUUACAUGCAGAUUUUCAACUACAUGGGGUCAGCACCCCUAGCCCCCGUGUUGUUCAAAGGUCAGCUGUAUAGUGAAGGCACUCUUUAUACAUUAAAAAUAAUAGACUGUGAUGAGUACUUUGUGAUAUAUAGGAGUCCCAGGUGCUGAGGAGGGAUUAAUUCAACACUGCCUGUGGCGUCUAGAGGCUUCCUGAACCUGGUUUCCCUGGAGGUGCACUUUGUAGUUGUGGAAGUUCAUAGAAUACUCGGAAUGCUGUCUCCUCUAGACGGAGUAUGGAGUAAAUAGGAGAUACAGGCAGGAAGGCAGCCUUUGACCUCAAAGUUGUAGUACAAAAGGCUUGAUUGAUAUUCUUUGCUAAAAAAAUCAGAAUGAACACUGCAGGCAAGGGCAGAAGAAUCCCACCAUCUUUUGUAUCUUAAAUAACGUUCAGCAUUGUCAAAGAUGGACUUGAAAAUCACAAUGAAGUUUCUUUCCUCUCCCCCACCCCAUAUUUGACCCUGUAGUCCUGUGAACAUGAGUGUUACUGGAGCAGCCCUAAAAGCAGGAGUUCAGGACUUUCUCCUCUGGUGACCACUUAAGGGCUACUUUAAUAGGUGGGAAGAUAAAGGGUUAAACCAGGGACAUUUCAGUGGCAAAACAGAAGCAAGGACAGAUGGGAAGAUUUCAGGGAUAGCGUGGGAAAUGUUAUUCCGUGCCACUUGCGCGCUGUCAUCUCAAAUAGUACUUGAUAGGUGAGGCUUUCUCUGACCCAUCCUGGCAAAUGGUACAUGUGGGGGCUGCUUCCUGAGCUAGGAAAGCACAUGUUCGUGUGCCCGUUGGACUGCCAGCCUUGGUAUCUUCUCAUCUCUGUUCCGUUGGCCUUCCGAUGACCCACAGAAGGGUGUGCUGGAGGGUUACUGAAGGAGAAAACAGACACUCAUAGGUGACUGGAUUACAGGCCAUCUGGCAGUAAAAGCACUACCACCGAAAGCUCAAUGAUAGCAAGAUACUACACGGAUUACCAUUCGAUCUAACCUUUCAUAGCACUUAAAAAUUUUCACUUUUUAAAUGAAGCCGGCAAGCUCUCCAUCCCACAAGUAUCCACGGAGGCUAUGUGCAAGGGAGUGUUUUAAGAAUUAGCCUGGGGUAUGUUAAGUAUCCUUUCCAGAUCAGUUUGAACGCGACAGCGAACCCAAUUCCGGUCUCUAAAUCCCAAUUGCGGGCCAAGGGGCCGGAACCAAAGCGUUGCCGCCUCAUUUCCGGGAGGAGGCGCCAGUUUGUGGCGAGGGAUCGAUUGCUUUUGCCUGGCGGGGGUCGGUCCGGAGAGGACGGCGAGCUCGGCGACUGCGGGCCAGCCUGGAGGUGUACGGCGUCCUCGUAGCGGGGGAGCCCGCGCUGCUGAGAUCCGGGAGGCGCGCUGGGCCCGCGUCGGACGGCUCGGUCGUGUUUGCACACGCGCUGGUGCGAGGCCCAUGGUUGGUGAUGGAGGUGGCGAGCAACAACAACAAAAAGGAGUUCUUUAUGGCGAAGUCAGACCAUCCUAGGCCUCUUGAGAGUUACUCCUUCCUUUUUGGAAUGAAUGCCCUGUGGGCAGGAUGGCUGAAAACCAGAGGAUAGUCCCUGCAGAGUCCUGUGCUUCUGAAGAAACACUCUUAUUAUGAAAGCUGUAUCGAAGCAGGAAUGGAGGUAGAAACAACGCCAUGACAACUUUGGAUUAAAGAUGAAGGCCAUACAAUAUGGAAGUAACCUGGGUCCCUGAAUCCCAUUUGGAAGAGAGCUGCCUGAACUGGAAGGUACUAUGCUGAGUGAACGUCACAGAGGAAGAUGCUAUUACAAGAGCUGGUGCUCUUCGCCAUCUUCAGAAGGAGCAAACCUUCCAAGAGCUGUUUUUCUUUACAUCAAGAAGUGCAUUUCUCACUGGUGAGCGAAUAAUCAAUAGAUCAGGACCAGAAGUUUUGUGAUGAUUUCUCCGGAAAGAGACUGCCCAGGGUGCUUGCGGCCUGUUCCGCCUGUCUCCCUGCUGCUCCUGGCUCUCUGCAGAAUUUAGCAGAUUAAUCACCGUGCUCCAGCCCAGACUGUUAUUUUUAGCUCUGUUGACUUCUCAACUGUCUGCAAACAACCAUGCACUAGACAAAGUACCUUGCAGGUGGGCAAGAGAGCCCCGCGAAGGGAAACAGCCCUGCUUUGGGAAGAGGAGUACUCACCCCACCGUGAAGAAUGGCAGGGUAUCUCAGGAGGGAAGCUCACGGAAAGAAGGAAACCCGUCCUGUUGACCGGUGGUUAGUCUUCACGUGGAUCGCUGCCGGGCAUAGUUGGCUUGCGGUAAACAGUUGGGCCAUCAGUGGACGAACGGACAAGUCAUCGCCCUCCCCCGCGCCGUGAAGGUGAUUUUGUGGCAGCUGGACUGCGCCUCACUCAGGUGCCGUAACUCCCGAGUCCAGUGUCACUGCCUUUCCCUUUGGUCACCCUCGCCCGCCUCCAUGAUCACUGCCCAGCAGCACUGCCUCCGCUCGCGUCACUCGCUGUCACUUUGUCUAGGUCAUUUCCUUCAACCUUUCCUCUGGGGAGUCCCCUUAGAGCCUCAGCCUUUUUCUGGGCAUCUCCACUGUGCUCUUUUAAUGAAAAAAAAAAAUGUUUUUGGCUAGCUUUAUUGAGGUGGAAAUGGCAAACGGAAGUUGUAUAAGUUCAGGUUGUACAGUGUGAUUUUUUUGAAGGUGUACAAUGUGAUGACUUCAUAUAUGUAUACAUUUUUCAGUGGCGAGAACACUUAAGAUCUACUCUCGGCAGAUUUCAAGCAUACAGUAUAGUUUUAUUUACUGUAGUCACCCUGCUGUACCUUAGGUCCCCCCAAUAUAUUCUUCUUAUAACUUCUUAUAACUUUUUUAUAGUUUGUUCUCUUUAGCCAACAUUUCCCCCUAUCUCCCAAGCCCGCGGCAACCGCUGUUCUACUGCCUGGUUCUGUGAGUCCAACUCUUUCAGAUUCUACACGUAAGUGAGACCAUACAGUAUCUGCCUUUGUGUCUGGCUUAUUUCACUUAGCAUAAUGCCCUCCAGGUUCCUCUAUGUUGUGGCAAAUGGCAGGAUUUCCUUCCCUUUCACUCUUCAUCAUAAUAGAAACACCUUCUUUCCCAUCUGGACCUAGCCUCUGAAUGUCAGAGACUGUAACUAGUGUCCAAGGGCAGUGACCCAGAAAAGCCCACAAUAGCAUCCUUGUUACUGCAGAAGCUCCCGUGAGGCCUAGUUCAUCCCUGACACUCAAUGUGACAACUUCCUCGCCUCUAACAAAAUGGAACAGGUAGUCCUGAAUUAAACCCUCUUACCAACUGUGGACGUUUGCUACCAUCUCAUGCUCCGGAAGUUACAGACAUGAUGAGGAAAGUCAAACGUGUCACGGACAGUUGGACAGAAAUGACAGAAAGGUCUUGCCUUCUUGAUGACCUUGCUGAGCUGCUAAAUUGCCCUGAGAUCACUUUCUUUUGGACUUCUUGUAGUUUAAACUGCUGUGGGGCGGGCACUCUGUUACUUACAGAGGAAGAAAUCCUAACAGGGUGUGGGAUUGAGCAAGAGUUUCUUUAAGGAUGGGAGAUAUUUGUACAUAUAAAGCCCUUUAUUUUUUUUGUUCCAUAAUAGUAAUUAUAAUGUUAUUACUAUUAUAUCAUUAUUUGUAAAUAAUUCUUUAUCAUAUUUCUAGUGUACAUUUGGGUUUACUUGUAAUUUCUGUUUAUAUCA